UAAGUGGAGGAAAAGAAACUAACAAGGAUUCCCCUAGUAACGGCGAGUGAAGCGGGAAGAGCUCAAAUUUAAAAUCUGGCAGGCUACGCUUGUCCGAAUUGUAAUCUCGAGAAGUGUUUUCCGCGUUGGCCUGUGUACAAGUCCCUUGGAACAGGGCGUCAUAGAGGGUGAGAAUCCCGUCCUUGACACAGACACCCAAUGCUUUGUGAUACACUCUCAAUGAGUCGAGUUGUUUGGGAAUGCAGCUCAAAAUGGGUGGUAAAUUCCAUCUAAAGCUAAAUACUGGCGAGAGACCGAUAGCGAACAAGUACCGUGAGGGAAAGAUGAAAAGCACUUUGGAAAGAGAGUCAAACAGUACGUGAAAUUGUUGAAAGGGAAACGAUUGAAGUCAGUCGUGCCUGCCUAGAUUCAGCCUUCUGGUGUAUUUCUAGGUCGGCAGGUCAGCAUCAGUUUGGGGGGGUUAACAAGGGAGCUGGGAAUGUGGCAACCUUCGGUGUGUUAUAGCCCAGUUUCGCAUUGAUCUCGCUGGACUGAGGAACGCAGUGCGCCCGCAAGGGUUGGUCUUCGGACACAUUCGCACUUAGGAUGCUGGCAUAAUGGCUUUAAACGACCCGUCUUGAAACAC
rnacentral:rRNA from 1 species